CCCCUCUCAGGAUCGCCUCUGGGGAAUUUCCAGUACUCUACCUGUCUCGACUACGGGAGGGAGAGUCAAGCAGAGGUAUACCCAUUCCAUUCCUAGCUUGGGCAGUGGCUAGCGAGUGGACGGCAAUCUGCUUCAAGU